UACAGAGGGUGCGAGCGUUGUUCGGAAUUAUUGGGCGUAAAGAGCGCGUAGGUGGUUCGCUAAGUCUGGUGUGAAAGCCCUCGGCUUAACCGAGGAAGUGCAUUGGAUACUGGCGAGCUUGAGUGUGGGAGAGGAUUGUGGAAUUCCUGGUGUAGCGGUGAAAUGCGUAGAUAUCAGGAGGAACACCGGUGGCGAAGGCGGCAAUCUGGAUCAUAACUGACACUGAGGCGCGAAAGCGUGGGUAGCAAACAGG
rnacentral:rRNA from 1 species